rnacentral:sRNA from 1 species
UCAUGGGUGUCUUUGUUCUAGUGUGCAGCAUGGCGGUAGAAAUAUUCUGUUACAUAGUAGAAGAUGGCCGCUUAAGUACUUGCCGCAGUCUAAAACAUGGCGGGCUUUUGUCUCUGCCGUGUGCAUUUCCUGAUAGGUUUUGCUGCAGGGACAAUAUGGCUGACCUUGUCAUGUGGAUAUCAUGGCAGUUUGUCACGUGGAUAUCGUGGCAGGGGUGUUUGACCGUUACAUUCUUGGCGGGCUUUGCAUCAGGAGGGCCUGCCGCAUUGUUAAAGAUGGCGUACUUUGCCGCGGAAAAAGUGAAAGGAGGGAUUGGCAGCGUUAGAUUGCCGCGUGCCCCACCCAAUCAGAAAGGGUGGUAGAAUUGGUCACAGCCAGUUAGUGGAGGAUGGAGUUAGAUGAGUUAGCAUAGCACCUCACUGCCGUCUCUAAUCAGCCAGUCAGGACUGGCCACAUUUGUACUAAUCUCAGUGGGUGGUACCAAAGUCUUUCCAAGGACAUUUGGCCUUUCCACUUCCUCCCUCCCUCUCACUGGCUCCCUCCCCUCCCUCACUGCCACUUGCAGUGCUGGAUAUUAGGUUGUGCAGGCAGAACCUUACGCCAUUCCUCUGCAUUGGUGCCGUGGCCAAAGCCCUUCCCCCACUUCCCCCUCCCCCGCCCCCUGCUCUUCUGCGCUGUGGCCAGGGGCAGUGCUCCAUGCCUGCCUAAGUGUGAACUUGGCGGUGAGUCGUGGCAAGGACCAGAAUGGAUCGCAGAUGAUCGUU